rnacentral:rRNA from 1 species
UACGGAGGGGGCUAGCGUUGUUCGGAAUUACUGGGCGUAAAGCGCACGUAGGCGGUUAUUCAAGUCAGGGGUGAAAGCCCAGUGCUCAACACUGGAACUGCCCUUGAAACUAGAUAGCUUGAAUCCAGGAGAGGUGAGUGGAAUUCCGAGUGUAGAGGUGAAAUUCGUAGAUAUUCGGAAGAACACCAGUGGCGAAGGCGGCUCACUGGACUGGUAUUGACGCUGAGGUGCGAAAGCGUGGGGAGCAAACAGG